UACAGAGGUCCCAAGCGUUGUUCGGAUUCACUGGGCGUAAAGGGUGCGUAGGUGGCGAGGUAAGUUCGAUGUGAAAUCUCCGAGCUCAACUCGGAAAUGGCAUUGAAUACUAUCCCGCUGGAGGGUCGGAGGGGAGACUGGAAUUCUCGGUGUAGCAGUGAAAUGCGUAGAUAUCUGGAGGAAUACCGGUGGCGAAGGCGGCAUCCUGGACCGACAUUGACGCUGAUGAGCGAAAGCUAGGGGAGCAAACGGG
rnacentral:rRNA from 1 species